rnacentral:rRNA from 1 species
UACGAAGGGAGCUAGCGUUGUCCGGAAUACUGGGCGUAAAGCGUGCGCAGGCGGUUAUGUAAGACAGAUGUGAAAUGCCCGGGCUUAACCUGGGAACUGCAUUUGUGACUGCAUGGCUAGAGUUUGGCAGAGGGGGGUAGAAUUCCACGUGUAGCAGUGAAAUGCGUAGAUAUGUGGAGGAACACCGAUGGCGAAGGCAGCCCCCCUGGGUCAAGACUGACGCUCAUGCACGAA